rnacentral:rRNA from 1 species
GACAGAGGGUGCAAACGUUGUUCGGAAUUACUGGGCGUAAAGCGCGUGUAGGCGGUCGUGCAAGUCGGGUGUGAAAGCCCUCGGCUCAACCGGGGAAGUGCACUCGAAACUGCAUGACUAGAGUCUCAGAGAGGAUAGUGGAAUUCUCGGUGUAGAGGUGAAAUUCGUAGAUAUUCGGAAGAACACCAGUGGCGAAGGCGGCUCACUGGACCGUUGUUGACGCUGAGGUGCGAAAGCGUGGGGAGCAAACAGG